rnacentral:hammerhead_ribozyme from 1 species
GCACUGCUGAGGAGUCCCAUAGUAAUAGGACGAAACGGCUGUCCAGUGC